CAUUAAAGCACCAGUUCCCAUAUGAUCUGUCACCAAAGUUAAGCAACGUUGAGCCUGGUCAGUACCUAGAUGUGCAACCACUUGGGAAUAACAGAUACUGUAAG